rnacentral:misc_RNA from 1 species
AGAAUCACUGUCAAGAUAACUAUCUAUAAUACGGUUUCUUGAAAUCUUAUGGCUUCUGGCCUUCAAUUCUGCUUCAGCUCUGAAACCCCUUUUGGACAUCUUUGAGACUUGCUUCUCUCCUCCCAUGCAUAUUGGGCAAGCUGGGUCAUACCUGUCAACCUCCAGUGUCAUGGUCUCCAAGCACUCGGCAUGGUACACAUGACCACAUACCAGCAC